rnacentral:rRNA from 1 species
AAUGGGCGAAAGCCUGACGCAGCAACGCCGCGUGAGUGAUGAAGGCCCUCGGGUCGUAAAGCUCUGUCGGGAGGGAAGAAGUGAUUGAGGGUUAAUACCCCUUGAUCUUGACGGUACCUCCGAAGGAAGCACCGGCUAACUCCGUGCCAGCAGCCGCGGUAAUACGGAGGGUGCAAGCGUUGUUCGGAAUUAUUGGGCGUAAAGCGCGUGUAGGCGGUUUCUUAAGUCAGAUGUGAAAGCCCCGGGCUCAACCUGGGAAGUGCAUUGGAAACUGGGGGACUUGAGUACGGGAGAGGGUAGUGGAAUUCCUAGUGUAGGAGUGAAAUCCGUAGAUAUUAGGAGGAACACCAGUGGCGAAGGCGACUUUCUGGACUGUAACUGACGCUGAGAUACGAAAGCGUGGGAGCAAA